rnacentral:rRNA from 1 species
CACGUAGGCGGCUAAGUAAGUCGGAUGUGAAAGCCCCGGGCUUAACCUGGGAACUGCAUUCGAAACUGCCUGGCUAGAGUAUGGGAGAGGGAAGUGGAAUUCCGGGUGUAGCGGUGAAAUGCGUAGAUAUCCGGAGGAACACCAGUGGCGAAGGCGACUUCCUGGGCCAAUACUGACGCUGAGGUGCGAAAGCGUGGGGAGCAAACA